rnacentral:rRNA from 1 species
UACGGAGGAUGCGAGCGUUAUCCGGAUUUAUUGGGUUUAAAGGGUGCGUAGGCGGGAUGCCAAGUCAGCGGUAAAAAUGCGGUGCUCAACGCCGUCGAGCCGUUGAAACUGGCGUUCUUGAGUGGGCGAGAAGUAUGCGGAAUGCGUGGUGUAGCGAUGAAAUGCAUAGAUAUCACGCAGAACUCCGAUUGCGAAGGCAGCAUACCGGCGCCCUACUGACGCUGAGGCACGAAAGCGUGGGUAUCGAACAGG